rnacentral:lncRNA from 1 species
AUGAAUGAAUGAAUGGACAAGAUACUAGGUCCUCCUUAGACAUUGACUAUUUCAACCAAUGCCUGUGUUGGGGUGGGGCCGUGUUCUGUUCUUGAAGUUGGUGGAGUUCCAUGGAUAUUAUUUCAAUGUUGUCAAUUUUAUCUCAUUUUUUUUUGUUGCAGUUAUUAUGAAUAUCUUGGUUGUUUUGAGCUACAUUAAGUCUUUAUUUCCCAUUCGCUUGCCCUCCUCAUUCAACUGGCUCAAUGUCACCGAUUCUCUUCUAGAAAAUGAACUGAUGCCAAAUACAUCAGAUUUCGUCAAGUCUGCUCUUCUCUGCGAAAACCACCUUUUUCAGAGCUGGGGCUCAACAAACAUUGUG